rnacentral:rRNA from 1 species
ACGAACGCUGGCGGCGUGCUUAACCCCUGCCAGUCGAACGGAAAGGCCCUGCUUUUGUGGGGUGCUCGAGUGGCGAACGGGUGAGUAACACGUGAGUAACCUGCCCUUGACUUUGGGAUAACUUCAGGAAACUGGGGCUAAUACCGGAUAGGAGCUCCUGCUGCGUGGGGGGGGUUGGAAAGUUUCGGCGGUUGGGGAUGGACUCGCGGCUUAUCAGCUUGUUGGUGGGGUAGUGGCUUACCAAGGCUUUGACGGGUAGCCGGCCUGAGAGGGUGACCGGCCACAUUGGGACUGAGAUACGGCCCAGACUCCUACGGGAGGCAGCAGUGGGGAAUAUUGCACAAUGGGCGGAAGCCUGAUGCAGCAACGCCGCGUGCGGGAUGACGGCCUUCGGGUUGUAAACCGCUUUCGCCUGUGACGAAGCGUGAGUGACGGUAAUGGGUAAAGAAGCACCGGCUAACUACGUG